rnacentral:pre_miRNA from 1 species
UGGACAGAUUAUUGUAUUCGACUGUAUUCAUGGCGUGAAAUAGGGGAUUACACUGUUUUUAAAACGGAAAGUGAAUCAAUUAACAUAAUAGACUCAU